GUAGAAGUACACUUAUAUUUCAGUAUUCAAUGAUACUCUGUUCAUGGUGACGAAAUUCACACUAGUAAUCAAUGCUGGAAAUUCCUUAGAGUCAGUCCAACACAUGCUAUUGUAUUUAAUAAUUGGAUUGUGUAUUCAAGGUCAUGCGCUCUUCAUCAUAUGCAGAUACUUACAGAGAAAUUAAACCACCACAAUAAUAUAACUACAAUAUUGUAUGUUUUUCCUGGGGCACAUGGAGCAAAAUGAGAAAAAACAAUCAUAUGGCUCUCAAAUGGAUUUUCCUUCACACGCAGUCAAAAUAUGUCACCGCUCAUUUUUGUGCAAGUUUUUCAAGUUCUGAAGAUUAUGAGUUGAGAAGAAAUGACAGCAGUGGCCUUGGAAAUUGGUUAGAAGACAUGCAAAGAUGUGGUGAUGAUGAAUUUUCAUUGUACUGAAGGCUAAAAAGGAUAUUCCUGCAGCCACAGUGUCCUUUCCACCUACCUUCUCAACGCCACAGGCACCAUUUACUGGAGACAGCAAACAGCAUCCUGCUCCUACUUGAACUUAAUUUUAUCCUGAUUACAUUUUGCUUUAAAACAUACAAUAAAUGGGAGACCCUGAAAGUAAAUCCAAAAGAUCCAUUCCCUAACUUCUGUUAUUAAAUUAACACUUAUUAUAAUUUUGCUUAACUUUUUGUUUGUGUAUCCAUAUAUUAUUAAAACAUAUUUCAGUAUUGUUAAUUACAUCAUAAACUAUGUGAUAAAUACCACUGUCACAUUAUUUGGAAAUCUGAGGGUAUAUAUGAUAUGUCCUUUAGGAAAACUCUUCUAGACACUGCUAACCUUGAAUACCUUCUUUUCUGUGUCCUAUCAGCCAUAUUGAUGAUUUCUACUGACAUUAUUUUGAAGCAAUACUCUUCAAAGCUGUACUGAAUAUAUUUCUGUAAUGAUGUAAAAUGUUUUCCACUUUGAAAUGUUUUUACAAGUGGCAAUAUUCUAACUCUAUAACUGCUCUAAUAGUAUAACCAUUUGCCAUUAAUCUUCCUUAAUAUUAAUUUUCUUUUUUCUCCAUUCCCGUCUCUGAAAAUCUAAACUGUGUCUCAGGAGCUAUAAUAAUAAGAACCAGGCCAACAAAAAACCCUAUAUUCUGACAUAUUCCAAAUCUGAUUUAAACCAAUCUUUACACAUGGACAUGUUUGACUUGGUCAAUAUUUAUUUAAAAAAUGAAGUGCACGUACGGUGCAGAUUUGCCAUUGUUAGAACACUGGCUACAAUCAUGAAUGUCUUCUACUUUGACAAAACCACUCCUGAUUUUACUGGCAGGUUUUGCCUGAUAACACAGGAUCUGAACCAACCAUUUGUCAUUUGUCAGAUUUAGAGAUUCUGCAGUUCUAGCUGUAGAGUUUGUUUUAUUGCACUCAAUUAGUGAAAAGUAUGUCCUUUCAGUCAUUUUAGCUUUCUAGUACAACUCCUUUGCAACUAUUCAGAGCAGUGAAACAGGUCUUGCUUGUUUAAUUAGGGGUUUCGUCCCAAAAUAAAUGAAAUAACAGAAAUACGAAGCCCCACCUAGAAAGCUCAAAAAAGUGCAUGUAACACCGGGCUCCAGGCUAAACAGAAAAAAAAGCUCUGACACCAGCACGGACUUCUUUGGACAAAGAAAGAAGGAUUAGCUGGGGGGGAGUGAUACGUUAGACACUUAGAAUGUUUAGGUCUAUUCUUGCGCUCUUACAUUACUCAGCAGCAACUGCAUUUUAUCUGAAAACUUAAAAUUUAACAGCAUCUGACGAAAAUGCUAAGCUGUUACAUAUCAAAACUCAACAGGGUCUGACCUAUACUGUCAUUUUUGCUUAUUCACCAGUAAAUGAAGGCAAGCUUUCUCAUGCAUAAAGAGUUUCUGUCAAUGGGGAUCUCUUAACAGAGUUGCAGGCUCCCCAAGGUUCACCAAAAGAAGAAAACAGCACAGAAAGAUAAAGAAGAAAGGAAGGAUGGAUGCUCCUGCAACCUGAAGACUGGACCAAGAGGCAGCAGAUCAGGAGUGAGCUUUCAUAUUUGCCACAGAGCUCUUAUGUAAGUUUGGAAAGGUCUCUUAGAUGCUGAGCCAGUAAUAUUAACUCAGCACAUCCCACUGACUUCAGUUUCUGGCAAGACUUGAAUCACACAUGACAUCCUAAACUACCAAAUUUUUUCCUGUUACUCUAGCCACGCUACAUAGAAUAAAGCUUUCUUUCAAAGAA
ensembl:lncRNA